AGCAGCCGCGGUAAUUCCAGCUCCAAUAGCGUAUAUUAAAGUUGUUGCAGUUAAAAAAGCUCGUAGUUGAAUUUCGGGGAUUAGUACGCUGGUCGUGCCUUUGGUAUGUACUGGUGUUACUGAUUCCCACCUUCUGACGAACCGUCAUGUCAUUAAUUUGGUGUGGCGGGGAAUCAGGACUGUUACUUUGAAAAAUUAGAGUGUUUAAAGCAGGCUCGCGCUUGAAUACAUUAGCAUGGAAUAAUGAAAUAGGACGUUCGAUCCUAUUUUGUUGGUUUCUAGGAUUGACGUAAUGAUUAAUAGGGAUAGUUGGGGGGCAUUAGUAUUCAAUUGUCAGAGGUGAAAUUCUUGGAUUUUAUUGAAGACUAACUACUGCGAAAGCAUUUGCCAAGGAUGUUUUCAUUAAUCAAGAACGAAAGUUAGGGGAUCGAAGACGAUCAGAUACCGUCG
rnacentral:rRNA from 1 species